GCUGAUGUAGCUCAGUUGGUAGAGCAACUGAUUCGUAAUCAGUAGGUCGGGUGUUCGAUUCGCCUCAUCAGCA
rfam:Herminiimonas arsenicoxydans chromosome, complete sequence.